GAGUUUCUGAGAAUCAUUCUGUCUAGUUUUUAUACGAAGAUAUUUCCUUUUCUACUAUUGACCUCAAAGCGGCUGAAAUCUCCACUUGCAAAUUCCACAAAAAGAGUGUUUGUAAUCUGCUCUGUGUAAAGGAUCGUUCAACUCUGUGAGUUGAAUACACACAACACAAGGAAGUUACUGAGAAUUCUUCUGACUAGCAUAAUAUGAAGAAAUCCCGUUUCCAACGAAGGCCUCAAAGAGGUCUGAAUAUCCACUUGCAGAGUUUACAAAGAGAGUGUUUCCUAACUGCUCUAUGAAAAGAA
rnacentral:lncRNA from 1 species